UGCUUGUCUCAAAGAUUAAGCCAUGCAUGUCUAAGUCCAAGCUGUGUUCACACGGCGAGACCGCGGACGGCUCAUUAAAUCAGUCGUGGUCCAAAUGGGCCAGUGCAAAUCCUACUUGGAUAACUGUGGUAAUUCCAGAGCUAAUACAUGCAACUGAUAUCCCGAAGGCGGUGUUGGGGCUUGCUUGCCUUGCGCUGCGCUGCUCUGACGGAUGCUUUUAUUAGACCAAGCCGCUGAGGACUUGAGGGUUCGCGCUCUCUUGUUUGACUCGUGUGAUGGUGACUCUGGAUAACCAAAUUCUGACAAGCGCACGUACUUCUCUUCUGAGCGAGACGGCGCUGCCACUUUCGAGUGUCUGCCUUAUCAGCUAUCAACCGUUCGUUAUGCGCGACCGAUGGCUUUGACGGGUAACGGGGAAUCAGGGUUCGAUUCCGGAGAGGCAGCCUGAGAGACGGCUACCACGUCCAAGGACGGCAGCAGGCACGCAAAUUACCCAAUCCCAGCAAAUGGGGGAGGUAGUGACGAAAUCUAACGAUGCGGGCGCCCUUUCUGGGGCCCCGCAAUCGGAAUGGGCACUUUCUAAACAACCUGUUGAGAAC
rnacentral:rRNA from 1 species